rnacentral:other from 1 species
GACACCCUGCGGUGUUCGUGCUGCUUUCAAUACACGCUCUUUGCCUUUGCGAUAUUAAGGGAGCCCAGACCGCGGUGGCGGCUGCUAGGCCGUAAACCGGAAAGCAAAAACCAUCCGGCGGCGCCCACCUGAACUACAAAAAGGACUUGAGCCUUUGGGCGCACGGCACAGGCGGGGUGUUG